GCCAGUGUGGCGUAGUGGUUUGAGUGUUGGACUACAACUCUGGAGACCAGGUUUCAAUUCCCUACUCAGCCC
rnacentral:tRNA from 1 species